AUUGAACUCUGGCGGCAUGCUUUACACAUGCAAGUCGAACGGUAACAGGCCGCAAGGUGCUGACGAGUGGCGAACGGGUGAGUAAUGCAUCGGAACGUGCCCAGUCGUGGGGGAUAACGCAGCGAAAGCUGCGCUAAUACCGCAUACGAUCUAUGGAUGAAAGCGGGGGACCGUAAGGCCUCGCGCGAUUGGAGCGGCCGAUGUCAGAUUAGGUAGUUGGCGGGGUAAAGGCCCACCAAGCCAACCAUCUGUAGCUGGUCUGAGGGGACGACCAGACCGACUGGGACUCGGAAACGGCGCAGCAUCCUACGGGAGGCAGGAGUGGUGAAUUUUGGACAAUGCGCGCAAGCCUGAGCCAGCAAUGCCGCGUGCAGGAAGAAGGCCUUCGGGUUGUAAACUGCUUUUGUACGGAACGAAACGGCUCUGGUUAAUACCUGGGGCUAAUGACGGUACCGUAAGAAUAAGCACCGGCUAAAUACGUGCCAGCCGCCGCCGUAAUAC
rnacentral:rRNA from 1 species